GACGAACGCUGGCGGCGUGCUUAACACAUGCAAGUCGAACGGAAAGGCCCCCAUCUUGGUGGGGGUGCUCGAGUGGCGAACGGGUGAGUAACACGUGGGUGAUCUGCCCUGUACUUCGGGAUAAGCUUGGGAAACUGGGUCUAAUACCGGAUAGGACCAUGGUUUAGUGUCUCAUGGUGGAAAGAUUAUUGUUUUGGUGCAGGAUGAGCUCGCGGCCUAUCAGCUUGUUGGUGGGGUAAUGGCCUACCAAGGCGUCGACGGGUAGCCGGCCUGGGAGGGUGGACGGCCACAUUGGUGCUGGGAUACGGCCCAGACUCCUACGGGCGGCAGCAGUGGGGAAUAUUGCACAAUGGGCGCAAGCCUGAUGCGGCGACGCCGCGUGGGGGAUGACGGCCUUCGGGUUGUAAACUCCUUUCGUUAGGGACGAAGCCGCACUUUUUUUGAGUGUGUUGACGGUACCUUUGUUAAGAAGCACCGGCUAACUACGUG
rnacentral:rRNA from 1 species